UACGAAGGUCCCGAGCGUUGUUCGGAAUCACUGGGCGUAAAGCGCGCGUAGGCGGCUUAUCAAGUCAGGGGUGAAAUGCCAAGGCUCAACCUUGGAACUGCCUUUGAAGCUGCUAGGCUAGAGUGUGGUAGAGGUAGCUGGAAUUCCCGGUGUAGCGGUGAAAUGCGUAGAUAUCGGGAGGAAUACCUAUGGCGAAAGCAGGCUACUGGACCAUCACUGACUCUGAUCUGCGAAAGCUAGGGGAGCAAACAGG
rnacentral:rRNA from 1 species